ensembl:processed_transcript
ACAUACAAAAGGAUGGGUGUACACUCUCUUUUCAGAAUAUGGUUCAUCUCAAAGCCCUUUACCCUUUGGAGCCAGGCCUGUUCGAUUUUACAAAUAGCACGUUUUGCUUGUAGUCAGGUAGGUAUUGAUGGUUUGUGCUUCCUUAGGGAGCAUAUUUAGAUGGCCACUAAAUGAUGAACAAUGUAAAUGACAAGCAUAUGGCUGAGUUGCAAUGAUGUCAUCUUACUACUGAAGUGGGCUGAAGAAAGAAGGUGCUGAGGUGGCUGUGAUUACAUUUAAAAAUGACAUUGUUUCUCUGUUUCCAGGGUGCUGUGACAACAUGAAAAGUUCAAGCUACCUCCCAGGAUGAGUGCAGGUUUUCCUGGUGACAAAUCUCAGGCAUUCAAAGGUUCUGUUAGCAGUGCCAUACUUGGGUUUACAGAGAUGGUGUGUCUGACUGAGAGCAAAGGAGCCAUACCAGGAAAGUUGAAGCAUAUCUUCAUUUUCAAGUCCAGGCUAAAAUAAGGUCUGAGGAAAAGAAUGAGCUGCGUGUGAAGGGAUAGAAAAAGAAAUCAUGAAAGAUCUGUUUGUCCAGGCCAGUGUUUCACCAUAAGAGAUCACUUUAAAUGAGAUGAAGUAAUUCUUUGCAAUUGCAAAUUUACCUUCCUUGCUUACCACAUUGUUAACUGUAGGAGCUGAUAUCUGGUUCUUCCACUGUUAACUUGNN